AGCAGCCGCGGUAAUUCCAGCUCCAAUAGCGUAUAUUAAAGUUGCUGCAGUUAAAAAGCUCGUAGUUGAAUUUCGGGACUAAUAUGUCGGUCGUGCCUCGGUACGUACUGGCUUAUUGGUUUCUCCUUUCUGAAGAACCAUGAUGCCAUUUAUUUGGUGUCGUGGGGAAUCAGGACUGUUACUUUGAAAAAAUUAGAGUGUUUAAAGCAGGCUCACGCUUGAAUACAUUAGCAUGGAAUAAUGAAAUAGGACGUUUGAUUCUAUUUUGUUGGUUUCUAGGAUCGACGUAAUGAUUAAUAGGGAUAGUUGGGGGCAUUAGUAUUCAAUUGUCAGAGGUGAAAUUCUUGGAUUUAUUGAAGACUAACUACUGCGAAAGCAUUUGCCAAGGAUGUUUUCAUUAAUCAAGAACGAAAGUUAGGGGAUCGAAGACGAUCAGAUACCGUCGUAGUC
rnacentral:rRNA from 1 species